AACGUAGGUUCCGAGCGUUAUCCGGAUUUACUGGGCGUAAAGCGCGUUCAGGCGGUUCGGCAAGUCGGGCAUGAAAUCUCCGGGCUUAACUCGGAAAGGUCAACUGAUACUGCGGGGCUAGAGUGCGGAAGGGGCAACUGGAAUUCUCGGUGUAGCGGUGAAAUGCGUAGAUAUCGAGAGGAACACCUGCGGCGAAGGCGGGUUGCUGGGCCGACACUGACGCUGAUGCGCGAAAGCCAGGGGAGCGAACGGG
rnacentral:rRNA from 1 species